UGAAUUUAUGGACAAUUUGCUAACGCCUUUUUUUUUCCCCCCUUUUUUUGAUAUUUACUCAUUCCGUCUUACAAAGAUAAGCAUGCUUUCCUUUUUUAUCUGUCCUGAAUUAUAUGCCACAUUCUUGCUUAAAAUAGUAUUUUAUUUAUUAGCUUACUAAUAUGCCCCUAUUUAAUAUGAAUUAAAAAAGUAAAAUCUAUUAGUUUUAAGAAUAAUUUAGUAACAUGAGUU
rnacentral:misc_RNA from 1 species